rnacentral:rRNA from 1 species
AUUGAACGCUAGCGGGAUGCUUUACACAUGCAAGUCGAACGAGUGCCGGCCGGGUGAGUAAUAUAUCGGAACGUGCCCAGUAGCGGGGGAUAACUACUCGAAAGAGUGGCUAAUACCGCCUACUAUUGGAGCGGCCGAUAGCGGAGUAGCUAGUUGGUGGGGUAAAGGCUCACCAAGGCAACGAUCCAUAGCUGGUUUGAGAGGACGACCAGCCACACUGGAACUUAGAGACGGCCCAGACGGCCACGGCAGGCAGCAGUGGGUAAUUUUGGACAAUGGGGGAAACCCUGAUCCAGCCAUCCCGCGUGUAUGAGAAGGCCUUCGGGUUGUAAAGUACUUUUGGCAGAGAAGCGGUAUCUGCAGAAUAAGCACCGGCUAACUACGUGCCAGCAGCCGCGGUAAUAC